rnacentral:rRNA from 1 species
CAUGCAAGUCGAGCGGUAACAGACAUAAAGAUUCAGCUUGCUGAAUCCGGUGCUGACGAGCGGCGAACGGGUGAGUAACGCGUAGGAAUCUACCCAGUAGCGGGGGAUAGCCCGAGGAAACUCGGAUUAAUACCGCAUACGCCCUGAGGGGGAAAGGGGGCAGUUUACUGCUCUCACUAUUGGAUGAGCCUGCGUAAGAUUAGCUUGUUGGUAGGGUAACGGCCUACCAAGGCGACGAUCUUUAGCUGGUCUGAGAGGACGAUCAGCCACAUUGGGACUGAGACACGGCCCAGACAUCUACGGAUGGCAGCAGUUAAGAAUAUUGGACAAUGGGGGCAACCCUGAUCCAGGUAUACCGCGUGUGUGAAGAAGGCCCUAGGGUUGUAAAGCACUUUAAUCAGAGAAGAAGCAUUUUAAGUUAAUACCUUAUUAUGUUGACGUUACCUGAAGAAUAAGGACCGGCUAACUCCGUGCCAGCAGCCGCGGUAAUACGGAGGGUCCAAGCGUUAAUCGGAAUUACUGGGCGUAAAGCGCGCGUAGGCGGUUUAGCAAGUUGUAUGUGAAAGCCCUGGGCUCAACCUAGGAACUGCAUCCAAAACUACUAAGCUAGAGUACGAGAGAGGAGAGUAGAAUUUCUGGUGUAGCGGUGAAAUGCGUAGAUAUCAGAAGGAAUACCAAUGGCGAAGGCAGCUCUCUGGCUCGUCACUGACGCUGAGGUGCGAAAGCGUGGGUAGCAAACAGGAUUAGAUACCCUGGUAGUCCACGCCGUAAACGAUGACAACUAGCCGUUGGGCAGAUUUAACUGUUCAGUGGCACAGCUAACGCAUUAAGUUGUCCGCC